ensembl:snRNA U6 U6 spliceosomal RNA
GUUCACUUUGGCAGCACAUAUACUAAAUUUGGAAUGAUAUAGAGAAGAUUAGCAUGGCCCCUGUUCAAGGAUGACAUGCAAAUUCAUGAAGCAUUCCAUAUUUUA